GGAAGCGUUUGAUUUAUGGAGCGGACUUUUUUCUAUGAGUGGAGCACGCAUUGUAAACGUCAAUAUUGUAGUAGUUCACAUAGCUGUUCACACGCAGCAGCAAUGCUUUUAGAAUAGAUUUUCAAUAGAGAUUCAGUAGAAGUACCAGAGUUCAGCAGCAGGAGUGCUCGUCUGAUCGACCACAAUUACAUCCCAACAGAAGGAGACAGAGAGGAAGUGGGUGGAAGGAGGAGAGAACUAUUGAUAUGACCUGGAGGUUGGCGCCUGAUUACAGUGAAAGAAAGAAUGUAAACAUCAGCUACGGAGAUGAAAGACGACCUGACGCUGAACUAUAAUCACACACCAGAGGCAGACACAGCGACACCGCCGUACAACGAUACCCCCCAAAAUCCACCUGAGCUGCCUCACAAGGAGAACAGCAUCAGUGUGUGUUUACUGGAUGAAGCUCAGCUCAGUUCUUCGUUUCCUGAGUAAUUAAA